CUUGCUUUCUUUGCUGGCGACCGGCGCACGGGUGGGUAACACGUAUCCAACCUGCCCUUUACUCGGGGAUAGCCUUUCGAAAGAAAGAUUAAUACCCGAUGGCAUAAUGAUUCCGCAUGGUUUCAUUAUUAAAGGAUUCCGGUAAAGGAUGGGGAUGCGUUCCAUUAGGUUGUUGGUGAGGUAACGGCCCACCAAGCCUUCGAUGGAUAGGGGUUCUGAGAGGAAGGUCCCCCACAUUGGAACUGAGACACGGUCCAA
rnacentral:rRNA from 1 species